CCUCCUGGGCUCGCUCUGUGCUCCUGCCUCCCAAGGAGCUGGGACUACAAGUACACACCCCUACAUUCAGCUAUUUUUACUAUGGUUUUUGUAGAGGUGAAAUCUCACUAUGUUGCUCAGACUGGUCUUGAACUCCUGGCCUCAAGUGAUCCUCCCACCUCAGCCUUCCAAAAUGCUGGGAUUACAGGCAUGACCUUAUCUGGAGACCGGGUUGUUACAGAGGUCAUCAAGUUAAAAUGGGUCAUGAAGGUGGGGCCCUGAUUCCACAUAACUGGUGUCCUUACUAAAAGGGAAAUUUGUUGCCAGUAAAAGAAAAAGAAAGAAUAAAAUAUUUUUUCUUGAGACAGUCUUGUUCUGUCACCCAGGCUGGAGUGUAGUGGUGUGAUCAUAGCUCAAUGCAGCCUCAAACUCCUGGGUUCAACUGAUCCUCCCACCUCCCGCUUCCUGAGUAGCUGAGACUACAGUUGUGUUCCACCAUGCCCAGCUAAUUUUCUGUAUUUUAUGUAGAGAUGGUAUCUCACUAUGUUUCCCAGGUUGGACUUGAACUUCUGGGCUCAAGCAAUCCUGCCUUGGCCUCCCAAAGUGCUGGGAUUAUAGGUGUGAGCCACCGUGACUGCCCAAAGCUCCUGGAUCUCUCCACCAUCGCUCUCUUCCUGAGCCGCCUGCCUCUGAGUUUCUUCAUCACCAAGAAGAGGAUUCACUGUCAGGCCCAGCUGUCCCAAUGUCCAUCUGUCACUUGGACUGUUUCUCCAGCCUCCGGCAUGGCUGCCUCCGGGCAUGGUGGCUCACACCUAUAAUCCCAGCACUUUGGGAGAUCGAGGCAGGCGAAUCUCCUGAGGAGAGCAAAUGAGGCAGAAGGACUUGUGGGCCCAGCCCUCCAGCUCCAUCCUCAGGAACUCGAGGAUCAUCAAGUUUCAUGGCUGUGAGGGAGCCUUUCUGGACAGUCCUGGUCAUCCGAGGCCAGGAGCUGGGUGCCUUGUGGACCUCUGGCCUCCUCUUCUCCGUGUUGCUGGUGUCCUUCCAAGCAUCUACCUUUCUGCACUGCUGGAAAGGAAGGAGGAUGAAUGCUGGGUGGCCACCCUGCGUGCCAAACUCUUCGUGCCAGGGCUGGUGGGGCC